rnacentral:rRNA from 1 species
AUUGAACGCUGGCGGCAGGCCUAACACAUGCAAGUCGAGCGGUAGCACAGGGAGCUUGCUCCUGGGUGACGAGCGGCGGACGGGUGAGUAAUGUCUGGGAAACUGCCUGAUGGAGGGGGAUAACUACUGGAAACGGUAGCUAAUACCGCAUAACGUCGCAAGACCAAAGAGGGGGACCUUCGGGCCUCUUGCCAUCAGAUGUGCCCAGAUGGGAUUGGCUAGUAGGUGGGGUAACGGCUCACCUAGGCGACGAUCCCUAGCUGGUCUGAGAGGAUGCCCAGCCACACUGGAACUUAGACACGGUCCAGACUCCUCUGGGAGGCAGCAGUGGGCAAUAGUGGACAAUGGGCGCAAGCCUGAUGCAGCCAGGCCGGGUGUAUGAAGAUGGCCUUGUGGUUGUAAAGUACUUUCAGCGGGGAGGAAGGUGUUGGGGUUAAUAACCUCAGCAAUUGACGUUACCCGCAGAAGAAGCACCGGCUAACUCCGUGCCAGCCGCCGCCGUAA